AAUCAACGCUGGCGGCGUGCCUCAGACAUGCAAGUCGAACGCGAAAUUUCCCUUCGGGGAGAAAGUAGAGUGGCGCACGGGUGAGUAACACGUAGGUAAUUUGCCUUUGGGUGGGGAACGAACUCAGGGAAACUUGAGCUAAUACCGCAUAAUGCAGCGGCUCGACAUCGAGACAGUUGUUAAAGCGGGGGAGUUGGAGCAAUCCGACCUCGCGCCU
rnacentral:rRNA from 1 species